rnacentral:rRNA from 1 species
CAGGUCACUCCUACGGGAGGCAGCAGUGGGGAAUUUUGGACAAUGGGCGCAAGCCUGAUCCAGCCAUGCCGCGUGAGUGAAGAAGGCCUUCGGGUUGUAAAGCUCUUUCGGACGGAAAGAAAUCGCGCAGGUGAAUAAUCUGCGUGGAUGACGGUACCGUAAGAAGAAGCACCGGCUAACUACGUGCCAGCAGCCGCGGUAAUACGUAGGGUGCGAGCGUUAAUCGGAAUUACUGGGCGUAAAGCGUGCGCAGGCGGUUUUGUAAGACAGGUGUGAAAUCCCCGGGCUUAACCUGGGAAUGGCGCUUGUGACUGCAAGACUCGAGUGCGGCAGAGGGGGGUGGAAUUCCACGUGUAGCAGUGAAAUGCGUAGAGAUGUGGAGGAACACCGAUGGCGAAGGCAGCCCCCUGGGUCGACACUGACGCUCAUGCACGAAAGCGUGGGGAGCAAACAGGAUUAGAUACCCUGGUAGUCCACGCCCUAAACGAUGCCAACUAGGUGUUGGGGAAGGAGACUUCCUUAGUACCGAAGCUAACGCGUGAAGUUGGCCGCCUGGGGAGUACGGUCGCAAGAUUAAAACUUAAAGGAAUUGACG